rnacentral:lncRNA from 1 species
AUGACUAUGCUGUUUACUCACUCAUCCUCUCUCUAUUUUUUGCAGUCUUUUCAAAGCUCAGGAAUUACACUAAUUAAGAUGGGGAAUGCCAUGAUUUCAAACAAACCAGUAAAUAUAUAUCUUAACAUUUUUAUGUUUUUGUUUUUGUUUUCUAGACAAGCAAUGAAGUGUGCAGCUGAAGUGCAGGAAGAAUUGAACAUUUUAACUUGGAGGGAUUGGGGUAUCAGAAAGAGAACUGCAAAGACCUUGAAGAAAGGAAUCUGAGAGCAGAAUAUUGCCUGCUUACCUCCCUGCCAUCCUUGACUUUGCAGAUCUCAGCUAAGACCUGCUUGAAUAAGCAGCUACAUUUCUUGGCGCUCAUCCAAGGUAACUAAAACCAAAACUUUUGCAGAUCACCUUUUACAUUAAAUCUCUUUUCCUUAGGAAAUAAAUUUGCACUUCAGCUUGGCCUAUGCUACA